rnacentral:lncRNA from 1 species
CCGUAACUUACUGUUUUAUAUAGAGCGAGUAAAGCCAUUACUAUGUACCUCCCACCUCCGAAACAUUUAGGACAUAGGAGUUAUGGCAUUUAAUGGGCGGUUACCUUAUUAACCACCAUUAAGAUUGAGUAAUGGGCCACUCAUGGGUGACUAUUGUGCUCCAUAUUCACAUGUAGUUAAUGCUCAUGCCAAAUAACCGUUGUUUGAUCUUGGGAUUUAGAUAGUCAGUAUAGCAUCGAGUAGGUCAUCGGUCAUGUGUCGGCUAUAUGUCAAACAAUGCUAGCUAGUCGUUGGUUGUUUGUUGGAUCAAGUCCAUCGAAUGCUGACUUGGUCAAAUUCCAUCGAUCUAAGUCGGCAUAAAUCAUAACAACUUGUCAGUGUAGAGAUGAGGAAGAAAUAGUCAUCACGCACUUAGUUGGUAGGGA